rnacentral:rRNA from 1 species
AUUCCGGUUGAUCCUGCCGGAGGCCAUUGCUAUCGGAGUCCGAUUUAGCCAUGCUAGUCGCACGGGUUUAGACCCGUGGCGUAUAGCUCAGUAACACGUGGCCAAACUACCCUAUGGACCGUGAUAACCUCGGGAAACUGAGGCUAAUCGCGGAUACCGCAUCCACGCUGGAACUGCCGAAAGCGGGAAACGCCCCGGCGCCAUAGGAUGUGGCUGCGGCCGAUUAGGUUGACGGUGGGGUAACGGCCCACCGUGCCAAUAAUCGGUAUGGGUCAUGAGAGUGAGAACCCAGAGACGGUAUCUGAGACAAGAUACCGGGCCCUACGGGGCGCAGCAGGCGCGAAACCUUUACACUGCACGACAGUGCGAUAGGGGGACUCCGAGUGCGAG